GCGCGAGUGGCGAAAUUGGCAGACGCGCAGGAUUUAGGUUCCUGUGUCCUCGGACGUGCGGGUUCAAGUCCCGCCUCGCGCACCA
rnacentral:tRNA from 1 species